rnacentral:rRNA from 1 species
GACGAACGCUGGCGGCGUGCCUAAUACAUGCAAGUCGAGCGGACGAAUCGAAAGCUUGCUUUUGAUUCGUUAGCGGCGGACGGGUGAGUAACACGUGGUCAACCUGCCCUGUAGACGGGGAUAACACCGAGAAAUCGGUGCUAAUACCGGAUAACACGAAAUGUCGCAUGACGUCUCGUUGAAAGACGGCGCAUGCUGCCGCUACAGCAUGGGCACGCGGCGCAUUAGCUAGGUGGUGAGGUAACGGCUCACCAAGGCGGCGAUACGUAGCCGACCUGAGAGGGUGAUCGGCCACACGGGGACUGAGACACGGCCCCGACUCCUGCGGGAGGCAGCAGUAGGGAAUCUUCCGCAAGGGACGAAAGUCUGACGGAGCAACGCCGCGUGAGCGAAGAAGGCCUUCGGGUCGUAAAGCUCUGUUGUUAGGGAAGAACAAGUAACGCAGUAACUGGCGUUACCGUGACGGUACCUAACGAGAAAGCCACGGCUAACUACGUG